AUAUGCUUUGUCUUCUGUGUGACUUCCUUUAGCAUUAUUUGCAGCACAUUUCAGUUGGUGAUGACUUCUUUAGGUUUUACUGUUUGAAUUUUUUCUUGUGGGUGAUUUCUAGUGCUCAGAAAAGAUGCAUAGUAUGACUCCUACCAUAUUGAUGUAGCCUCCUCUCUAUGAUUAACUGUGGGAAGUCUGUCCUACUGUCUUCAGUUUGUCUUCUGGGUUAUUUACACUGAUGUGGUUUUAUCAAGUUGUAUCUAUGGAUGAGGUACUAGAAGAGUCCUUGCAUGCAUGAGCUAAUCAGAACUCAAAUGAACAUUGAAAGGGACCAUCUUUCUAGAUGCUGGAAUUCUGAAAUCAAGGUUUCAGCAAGAUUGGUUCUUUCUGAGAGAUAUGAAGGAAAAUCUUUUCCAUUAGUCUCUUCUAGCUUCUAGUGAUUUGCUGACAAUCUUUGGCAUUCUUUGUUUGAUUUCUGUCUUCUGACCUUCAUAUGGCAUCUUCCCUAGGUAAAUGUUGAAAAAGAAUGUGUGCUUGUCCUGAAAGAAAAUGAACUCUAUCAGCAAAUAUAGUGUGGCUUUUCUAAAUUGAAUUGAACUAGAUCAGCAAGUGUUAUUUUUAAGAGUAUUUGUCCUAAUGUCCAUGAAAUAUUAGCAAACAAUGGAAGUUAGAUUAAUUCCAAUAACUGCAUAUUCACUGAAUACCCCCCACUCUCAUUUCUGUAGGUGUACAGGGUUCAAGUAAACCUGAACUGAAAUUUAGAAUACCUGAAUUUCCACAAUUUUCUGGUGAAAUGAGUAGUCAAGAAUUGAUUUGCAUAAAGGUUGAAACUGAUAUGAAUGAAAGUAUCAGUCCUGGUACUGGUGGUGAGAAGAUAAGGAGUGAGGAUGACAAAAUGAUAAUUUUCUCAGAUAUGGUCUUCCCACAUCCUCUUUCACUUCAACCCUUACAAUAAAUUGUCAGUGUAUUAAUGCUAGUGUUAUCCUAUUACUAAGACUAAGGAACGUAGGAUUACCAAAAUAACCAAAAAUAAUUCAGAUUAUUCAUUUAACAGUAUUUAAUAACUACUCUAUACCCCAGACUGUGCUAAGUAAUAAAUAUACGGUGGUAAAAAAAAGAGUCUGGGUUUCCCUGAAUCUUAAAAUCUAGUCAAGAGAGAAACAGUAGGAAAAAAGAAAAAAAAAAGACUUAGAUAUACUAAUUACUAAUGAAAAUAAUAAUGAUUUAUAUGAAAACAGAAGCAACUUAAUUCAGAUUGGAAGAUAUGAUAAGGGUCACUUCAAGAAGUAAACUUCAAGCUAGUAUUUGAAGAACGAGUAAGCAUUUGCCAGGAACAAGUGGAAAGAAGGAUCUUUCAGAGAAUAGGAAGGAAUAUAGACAUUGACUUAAGAAAAAAUUUAAUGUAUUCAAAUAAUUAAAAGGCAACAUGGCUGGAAUAGAAUGAUCAGGACUAAUGAGACCAUGUUGAUGAAAAAGGCCAGGGUAUGAUAAUGUAGAACAUUGCUCAGGCAUGUUUACAAUUUGGGGUUUCAUUCUAAACUACUACAAUGGCUAGUAAUUUUUAAAAGUGUAUAAAAUAAGUGUAGGACAUGGCUAACUUAACUGUUAGAAGAGAAUUGGUUGAUGACAAAAGAGGAAACAGUAAGUCAAAGCAAGAGAGUGGUGGCAAUUGGUAUCACACAGAGUAUAUAGAAAACAUAUAUACUUUUGAAGAAGCACUGGAAUCAUCAGGGAAAAGAAGAGCCAUUUUUUAUUUGAUGCAACAAGUGAAGAGAGGCAAAGAGAAAUUUCAGAGAUCCUCUAGUUCUCUGGCUCAAGGCACUAGGUUGUUUGAUGCUAAUUACCUAUGAUAAAGGAAGCAGUGUAAGGUGAAGAUUGACUCAAAGAUGAAGAGUUCAGUUUUAGAUAUGUUAAGGAACUGAAGUUGCCUGUUUGAUAUUCAUGAGAUGUCGAGGAGAAAGUGACUAAAGGUCUAGAGAUUCUAAGAGUGGCUUGAAAUGGGAGCACAAAUUUGAGAGUCGCCACCACAGAAAUGUUAUUGAAGACCAAGGAGACAGAUAGGAUCACCUAGUGAGAAAAUCUAGUACAAAAACUGAAGACAGUCCAAGACCAACCUCUGUAGAACUCCAAAAUUUAAUGAAUGUAUGGAGCACAAAGCAACUGCAGAGGAACAUUUCAGAGGUCAGAAGACAAUAGUUAAGAAAAUGUGGUGUCUAGACAACAAGAAAAAAGAGAUAUAGUGUGCUAAUGGCUAAAAGGCUAUUGCAUUUUGGUACAUAGAGGCUUCUGUGGCUUUAGAAAGAGCUGUAUUUUUGAAAAGUAGGGGGAGAAUCCCUAAUGAUAUGAAUUAAAAAGGGAAAAAUAAGUAGGAAGGUAGAAACAGUAUAGCAGAUGAUGCUUAUGAGAGACUCUGUGUUAUACAGGGAAGAAACAAAAAAGUAGAGCAGGUAUAUAUAUAUACAAUGGAAUACUACUCAGCGACCAAAAAAAAAGAAAUCUUGCCAUUUACAACAAUAUGGAUGGAACUAGAGCGUAUUAUGCUAAGUGAAAUAAGUCAAUCAGAGAAAGAUAAUUAUCAUAUGGUCUCACUCAUAUGUGGAAUUUAAGAAACAAAACAGAAGAUCAUAAGGGAAGAGAAGAACAAAUAAAACAAGACAAAAUCAGAGAGAGAGACAAACUGUAAGAGACUCUUAAUCAUAGAAAACAAAUUGAGGGUCACUGGAGGGGAGGAGGGGAGGGAGAAGAGGUAAUUGGGUGAUGGACAUUAAGGAGGGCAUGUGAUGUAAUAAGCCCUGGGUGUUAUAUACAGCUGAUGAAUCACUGAUCUCUACCUCUGAAACUAAUAAAAAAUAAAUAAAUAAAAGAUGCUUGGAAAAAAUAAAAUAAAGCAAUAACAGAUAAAUAAAGAGAUGAUUAAGUUAAAAUGAGCCCAUUUGGGUAGUUGCUACUCCAAACUGACCAGCAUCCUUUUAAGAAGAGGAAGUUUGGACACAGAGAGACACCAGGGAUAUACACAGAGGAAAGAUCAUGUGGGGACACAGGAGGGAAGUGGCUGUCUACAAGUCAAGCAGGAAGGCCUCAGAGAAACCAAACCUGCUGAUAGCUUGUUCCUGAUCUUGGACUUCUAGCUUCCAGAAAUGACACAAUAAAUCUCUGUUGCUUAGGGGAAAAAAAGGCAGAGCAGACCAGAAAGGAUAUGGAAUCAAGGAAAGUUUUGGUUUUGUCUUUUUAAAAAGAUAUGAAUUAUCAGAGCUGAUUUAUAAGUUGUUAGGGAAGAUCCUAUUGAUGAAAUAGACUGAAUAUGCAAGUGGAGAAGAAAUGCCCAAAAAGUGAAAGUCAAAAAUUAAGAGGUACUGGUAUUUGCCAAGAGUGGUACUUUCCUUUUGCUUUAAUAAAAAAGAGGAAAAGACUCAGAUGGUCCCAGCAAAUGGAAACUUGGUAAAGCUGGAUGAGAUUAUACAGAAAAGAAUGAAAGCCAAAGAUCUUCUAACAUUUUUUAGCAAAUGUGAUAUGAUCUCACUAAUUACAAAAUAUUUAAAAAUAAACCAUUAUUUGCAUAAUUUAUAUAUAUAUGCACAUUCUACUUUUUAUAAAAAUAAAAUAAACAACAAAUACCGUUAAAUAUACAAUUAAUUGGGCAAGGGAAUUGUCCUCUUUGACAUGUUGUCUUAUAAAGUAGAUCUUGUAUUAUAGCGUCUAAAUAACUUAAUUUUUUUUUUAUUUGAGAGAGAAAACCUGAGCAGGGGAGGGGCAGAGGGAGAGGGAGAAGCAGACACCCCACUGAACAGGGAGCCUGACCCAGGGCUUGAUCCCAAGACCCUGGGAUAAUGACCUGAGCCCAAGGACUUACUGAGCCACCAAGUCGCCCCCUAAAUGCCUUAAAUUUUAAGGACAGAAAUAAAAGCCCAAUUUAUGUGAAUGUCUGAGAGUACAUUUGAUGAAAUAUGCUGCUAGAAACCAUCAAAAGUUGAAGGGCUUAUGGCUCUAAUAUAAAGCCAGCUUUAUUCCAUCUGUAGAAAUCUGGUAAAUAUGCAACAAAAUAUAAUAGUCCCAAUAAAAGAUGUUGUUUUCCAUUGUUUUCCUCCCCCACAAUCUUACAUUUGCAGAGGAUUUUUGUUUGGUCUUCUCUGUUUAGAAAAAUACAUUGGCAAGGAGCUAUUACAUAAUAUUGGCUUACCAUGACAAGUCAGAAAGAAGUAACUUCUUCCUACGUUGUUUACUUUAAACAUUUAUUCUCACCUUUUUCUUUUCAUCUUUAGAUUUUGACUGAAAAAAAAUCAGUUUUAGUUCCAUUAAGAACCAAAUGACUCAUUAGGCUUAGUUGCUAUGAUAGAUUUCACUCCCCCCUUUUCUCCCUCCCUCUUUCCCUUCCUUUCGUCUUUGUUUUUUCCUUCAUUUCUUUUCUUUUCUUUUUUUUUUUUUUUUUUGACCUACCAUCCUGCCUGAAGAUUUGAAGAUGAGAAGAUGUUUAUUCCAAAAUAUCAUUCGGAAAGUUCACAUUAUUGCAAUAUUGGCUACCUGAAAAGUGAGCCUGAAUAUCUUUCAAGGCCACGUUUAAUUUUCUGAUUCAACAUCAUUCUAAAAUGAUCAAUAUCCUCAUAAAUAAGUUUGGAAUCAGGAAGAAGAGAAAACUUGUCAGCAAUUGCAUGUGUGGCCCAAUUAGCCAAGGCAACUUUGUUACUUUUCAGUUGGAUUUACUGUCUGACAUUUGUGCAGGAAGUCCAUACACUAGCUUUAUUUUGGAGUUGCACUUGGAAAGCUGCCCAGGGUAGAAAUCUUAAUUGGAGAUCCUCUGGAAUUGGCAAUACCAAGAAAUGCCAGGAUAGUUUUCCGGACAAGAGACCAAUAGGGCUGCUUGUACUAAGUAAGUUUACUUAUUUGGGACUUUUAGUAAAAUUGUAAAAAUAAGAAACUAUUAUAGAAUUAUAGAAAGGAAGACUAGUAUUUUCCAACUCAAUUAAACCUAAAUCAAUACCAACUAACUCCAAAAAGUAAUUUCAAAAAGUUAUCUUAUCUCUUCCCCUAUUUUAAACAUAUUCAUUAAACUAUAUACUUCUAUGUAAAUGGCAGCUAAAUUCCUAAAAUAUGUUAUCAAUAUUCUUAAACAUCUUCAGAAGUGAUAAUCAUGCAAUCUCCUUUCUUUGCUGCUCCAGAGAUUCAUAGUUAGGAUAUUUCUCUACUUAUAUUUAGCAAAGCAUUACAUAUUGCAACUUAAAUUGACUCCUUCUUAUUCUGACUUUAAUGAGGAUUAUCUUCCUUAAAAAUUAUCACUCAUUUUUCAGAAUCCCAUCAGAACAAAUCAAAACCAAGCCAAAUUAGAGUAGUCAACAUAUUUCUAUAGAGGUGCAGAGGAGAUUUUCUUAAUGCUUUUCUCAGCUUUUAUAAGAAAUGUAACUUAAUUGAAUUUUCAGUAACUGUCAACAUUGGUAAGGAGGAAAUUAUUACAACCUUAUAUGUAUUUUAUGAUUUCUCUGAAAUGAAAUAAUCUCAGACUGUAAUAUUAUUCUUGACAAUGAAUGACUUGGCAUCAGGAUUAAAUACAGGGAUAAAUCUACUAUUGGGAAGCUAAGACUUCAAGAAGGAAAGGGAUUCUUGAGUUAGCUUUUAAAGAUUGAGAAAAGUUCAGAAGGCAGAAAUUCUGAAUGCUAUUCUCAGUUCAGGGAACCAUGAUGUAGGGUCAUUGUGAAUAUCUCUUAAAAAUCCAUUAGUUUAUGUUGCUCCUGUCUGAGUUACUACUAGAUCCUUGUUCUCCUGUUUCUGUUAUAUUUUCCAUGUUCUCAGCAUCAGCCUACCUACUUUUUCCCUUCUGCUUUUCAUGGUGCCUGAAAUCAAGGAAGUAAUUUGGAAAGUUAUUGCAGUAGGUAUCAGGAUUCUCCCAUUUGGCAAUAUCACAUGGUUAUAUGAAAGUAUGCGUGAUGUAAUGCAAGUUAUUUGCCACCAAAAAUAAUUCAUGUCAUUAUUUCUCUUAAAAAAGGAAAAAAUGAAAGACAUAUAGAACUUGAAGAGAUAUAGAACUUCUUGUCAUGAGGGCAAGAAGAUUUGCAUUAAGCAUGUUACCAAACAUCUUCAUAAAUCUUUUGUUUUUAUUCAAGUGUAAUUAACAUAUAGUGUUAUAUUAAUUUCAGUUGUACAAUAUUGUAACUCAAUAAUCCUAUACAUUUCUCAGUGCUCAUCAAAAUAGGUGUACUCUCAAUCUCCUUUAUCUAUUUCACCCAUCCCUCUACCUACCCCUUCUGGCAACAACCAAUUUGUUGUCUAUAGUUAAGAGUCUGUUUUUCUGUUUCUCUUUUUUUGUUUGUUUGUUCAUUUGUUUUGUUUCUUAAGUUUUGCAUAUGAAUUGAAUCAUGGUAUUUUUCUCUGGCUGGCAUAUUUCACUUAGCAUUAUACCUCUAGGUCCAUUCAUGCUGUUGCACUUGGCAAGAUUUUGCUCUUUUUUUACAAGUGAGUAAUAUUCCAUUUUAUGUAUCUACCACAUAUUCUUUAUCCAUUCAUUUCAAAUGUCAUCUUUCUGGUAAGAUAGGCUUUCUAUCAGUAAGGUUAAGUAAUACUAAGUAGAAUGUGUGAGCAAGGAAGAAAAUAACUUUUAUAGAAAAAUAAUUAAAUGUUUAUAUAUAAUUUGUUGUUUACAUGUAUAUAAUUAUAUAUUAUAUAAAUUGCUACAUAUACACACACAAAAAAGACUGUAUAUGAUGUGUAUACACAAGUAUGAAUAUUUCAAAUGAUAUCCUAAACAAUUAUUAUUAUAAUUUCCUUUUUCAGAACACAACUUUCUUUUUGUUAAACACAAAAACAGAAUGUUCUUUUUCACUCUUAAGCAGAAAGUAUUUUGCAACUUCACAGGAGAGAGUCUUAGGAAUGAUAAAUCAAAUCUAAGCCCAUCGCAUAUGAUAGGAUUGUCAACAAGAUGACUUUUGGCCUUUUAUGUCAUGUUGUAAAUGAAACGGCUGCUUGACUGACUAUCUGAGAUGAAAACCAGCUGUGUAAUGGUUAGUUACUCAUUGCAUUUUAAUUAUUGCUUGCUAUCCAUAAGAGAGGAUUAAAAUUGUCAUAAAUGUUUGCUAAUUAACUAAAAAAUAUGGAAAGUAUUUUAUACUUGGAAACAUUUUUUGACCGAGUGCAUGUUGAUAUCAGAGGGAAAAAACUCUCCUACAACACUGUCCUCAGGCUAUUGUCUAAUAAAACUUCAAUUAACAAUGUGAACUUGAUCUGUAUUAGUAUUAAAAAGAUAACUCUGAGUUAAAAUUACAGCAUUUUUUUCAUUUCUAAUAUAUUUUGUUAACAAAGUAAAGAUAUCCAAUUCACAACAUCUCAGCAGAAAAUGCUCAAAGUGUUUAAACCAUUUCACUGAGGAGGUAAAAUUAGGCUUAUGUGCAAAAGGAGCAACUCAACUGAAAUUUUAAGAGCUUGAUAUGCAUAUUAAAGGCAGUGAUAAAUUAUAUUGUGGAUGUUUUUGCAUUCCAGAAACUGAGGAACAGCCCAGAUCUAUUUUUAUCUAUCAGGACUAUUGUAUAGCAAUUUGAUAGUUCCAAACAAUUAGCCAGUAUAUAUUUUUGAAAGAUAUUUUCUCUCUUUUAUUUUUCAAACUGUGAAAUGACUCAAAGAAAACUUUUGCUAAGAAA